UGUAAGCCAGGUUGGUUUCUAUCUUUAAAAUUUUUUUUUAUAUUUUAGUACGAAAGGAUUUUAUAUGGGGAAUAAUUUUAAAAUUAUGAAUUUUAUUAAUAAAUUUAUUUAUAAUAAAUUAAGUAGGUAUGUGA
rnacentral:rRNA from 1 species